AUACAGAGGGUGCAAGCGUUAAUCGGAUUUACUGGGCGUAAAGCGCGCGUAGGUGGCUAAUUAAGUCAAAUGUGAAAUCCCCGAGCUUAACUUGGGAAUUGCAUUCGAUACUGGUUAGCUAGAGUAUGGGAGAGGAUGGUAGAAUUCCAGGUGUAGCGGUGAAAUGCGUAGAGAUCUGGAGGAAUACCGAUGGCGAAGGCAGCCAUCUGGCCAAAUACUGACACUGAGGUGCGAAAGCAUGGGGAGCAAACAGGAUUAGAUACCCGGGUAGUCCAUGCCGGAAACGAUGUCUACUAGCCGUUGGGGCCCUUGAGGCUUUAGUGGCGCAGCUAACGCGAUAAGUAGACCGCCUGGGGAGUACGGUCGCAAGACUAAAACUCAAAUGAAUUGACGGGG
rnacentral:rRNA from 1 species